UUGGGAUGCCAUCGAUUCUCACUAGUUCAAGAACGCCCUCAAGCACUCCGCGAGUCUUCUCACCAAAUACCCAAAUAAUCCCUGUGCUCUUCAGGCUCAUCAUAAUAGCAAAACAAUGUCUAGAAGGCCCACUUCCACUCGUCACCUUACAGACAGUGGGAGCAAUCCAUUUGUGGGUUCAUUGCAUCCCAAAUCACGCCCAUCUCCUCUAUUAUCUAUAGGGCAUCUUUCUGUGGUAAGAGGUGGUGUCGUUAUCUUGACUGGUAGGAGGUGGUGUCGUUGGCAGGGUUGCCAAUCACAAACCUAUGUUGGACACAUUAUCAGUGCUGGAAAAUAAUGAUCUAGGAUUCCUCUUAUCUUCUAGUAGCUACGUUAGCACACAUGAUUAGAUACUGGAACACUUGUAGGCAGCAUAGAUUUUCUUGAUGCCAGCCUUGUAUGUAAAUUUCAUGACCAGUUGAGCACGGAAAAAUGAGUAAAUUUAAUGUGCUAAUAUAAAUUGAAGACAUCUCUGCAUCCAAUUGAGUGAUUGAUGAGUACUUAGAGAAUGCGGUCAUGUCAUAUUCAUUUACACUUGGUAUGUUUAAGUCAUUUUAUGUUGUAUUUAUACUUCCACAAGCUAACAAUUUUCCCUUUCAAGAUGUUUGAUAUUAGUAAUUUUACGCUGAAAUUCUCAUUUA